ensembl:lncRNA novel transcript
CUCUCUUAAAGGAAGAAAGCCCAGGGCUCCUGGCCUCCAGCCCAGAGCUCCAGGGAAGGGGCCGGCCAUGUCUGAGCUAGGGAAGAGGCUGCAGAAGAUAAAGGUUCUGGGGACAUGCUCCAAGUUAGAAAGCCAGGCCAGCGCCAGGCAGGUGGACAGUGUUUCCAGUGGCCUUCCUGUGGCCUCGACAUGGUCAGCUCCCGGGCUGCCUCUGUGGCUAGCUCUGGGACCUUCCCAGGUGCCACAUCCCUGGCUCCAUGGGACCCUCUCCAGGCCUGGGGCCAGCAGGACCCCUGGAGAUGUGCCCCUCUUUCUCUGGUUCACACAGCACCAUCGACUUGGCCCCCAGCAUGUCCUCAGCCACCGUCAUCAUCUCUCCAUCCCUCAGCCACCGUCAUCAUCUCUCCAUCCCUCAGCCACCGUCAUCAUCUCUCCACCCCUCAGCCACCGUCAUCAUCUCUCCAUCCCUCAGCCACCGUCAUCAUCUCUCCAUCCCUCAGCCAACGUCAUCAUCUCUCCAUCCCUCAGCCACGAUCCCAGUUGAGGUCACAUCCUACCCACAGGGGCCCUACUGUGCCCCAGGUCCCUCGGCGACCAAGCUCCGGUCCUCAUCUCACGUUCACUCUGAACCAAGGCAAGCUGUCUGGACUUCCACCCUGACCAUGCCACUGCCCUGCUCACAGCUGGGGCCUGCCAGCCUCGGGAUACAGUCCUUGGUCCCCCAUUCCAGCCUCUCCACCAGGCCUGCCUCCCUCCAGUCAUGUGGCAGCCGUGCAUGUGGCCCCUCACUCCGGCCUUGGCAUGCCUGUUCCCUGUGCUGGGAUGGCCCCAUCGUCCCCACCUCACCCUCUGCUUCCUGGCUACCUCCCUCCUCCUGAAGCUCCGCUUACUCCUCCUCUCCUCCAGGAAGCCCUCCCUCACUACCUCCCUCCCGGAACUUCUCCUCCACUUUGGGGCUAACUCUCCCUUCCUGGCCCCCCACCCCCAGCCCAGUCUAAUUGGAGUGUGGCCGGAGCUUCAGUCAGGGCAGUGCAGGUUAGCAAAUGGUUGUGGAUGAGUGCCUGUGGGCAUGUAUGGGCUUCCAGUUGCCUCUGCAGGACUUGGGUGGGGGAGGAGGUACAGCCCCCCGGGUGCCCCCGUCCACUCCCCUUACCGUAACACCGACCUUCACCAGCCCUCCACUUCCUGGUGAAAAGCAGACCUGUGGCCUUGGGCGUCUGCAGCAAGGCCUCAGCUUGGGUCGCUUCUCUCCUGUCAGCGUGGGCCAGCGUGGGCUGCUGUGGCCCCGGCUGCUCCAGGUUGGGGGGAUUAAUUGGCCUGUUGCUGGAGGCAGGCAGAGGCUGGACGGCGGGUAGGCAGAGCAGGCGAGGGGGACCCAAGGCCUGAGCCCCUGUGUUUGCGGGGUGAGGGCAGUGUCCCUGGAGGGAGGGGGUGCUUCUGGCCCUAGGCGAGGGUCCCUGGUGAGCGCCUCUGCAGGGACCCAUCCACAGGGCAGCCCACAUUAGCAUUCUCUGCACAAGAGUUUGCAAAGGAAUGACUCACACUCUGGCUGACUAAUUUGAAAGUAAGCUGCUUUUGCUGCAAGAAGGUUCAGUGAAUCUUAAAAA